rnacentral:rRNA from 1 species
AGAGUUUGAUCAUGGCUCAGGACGAACGCUGGCGGCGUGCUUAACACAUGCAAGUCGUAGGGGGGUAGCAAUACCUCACCGGCGAACGGGUGCGUAACACGUGAGCAACAUUCCGAUUUCUGGGGGAUAGCCGGCCCAACGGCCGGGUAAUACCGCAUACGCUCAUUGAGAGGAGUCUCUCGAUGAGGAAACCUCCGGGGGAAAUCGAGUGGCUCGCGGCCUAUCAGCUAGUUGGCGGGGUAAUGGCCCACCAAGGCAAUGACGGGUAGCUGGUCUGAGAGGAUGGCCAGCCACAUUGGGACUGAGAAACGGCCCAGACUCCUACGGGAGGCAGCAGUGGGGAAUCUUGCGCAAUGGACGAAAGUCUGACGCAGCGACGCCGCGUGCGGGAGGAAGCUCUUCGGGGUGUAAACCGCUGUUGCCCGGAACGAAACUCACCUUUCGAGGUGAUUGACGGUACCGGGUGAGGAAGCGCCGGCUAACUCUGUGCCAGCAGCCGCGGUAAUACAGAGGGCGCGAGCGUUGUCCGGAAUCACUGGGCGUAAAGGGCGCGUAGGUGGCCACUAUAAGGCCGCGGUGAAAGUUCGGGGCUCAACCCUGAAUCUGCCGCGGCGACUGUAGGGCUUGGGCAUCGUAGAGGCAGAUGGAAUUCCGGGUGUAGCGGUGGAAUGCGUAGAGAUCCGGAAGAACACCGGUGGCGAAGGCGGUCUGCUGGGCGAUGGGAGCGCAAGCUCCUCUUAGCCGACACUGAGGCGCGACAGCGUGGGGAGCAAACAGGAUUAGAUACCCUGGUAGUCCAC